CUUCUCUCCUUUAUUAUUGCUUAUUUUAUUUGUUUUUAGAGGAAACAAAAAAAGAAUGGAUUACAGAAUGGGAAUUCUUUGGCUGUUGGUGCCAACAUACUGGAGGAUACAAAUAAAGAUUGCCAAAAGAGUCAAGAAUCUUAUGAAACACUUCAGGAAACAAAUCUAUAUCAAGACGUAGUAGAAGAGAACUCUGUGACUUAUCCAGACAAUAAGCACUUGUAUAACAUAUCAACCAAUCUUGAAUGUCAUCUUAAACAGAAAAAGUCAACAUGAAGAUAAAGAAAUUUGUCAAUCUUGGCACCAUAAUGGAAGGACCUCAGUUUACAAUCAAGUGUUAUAAAUGUAAGGAAUAACCUGGAAGAAGUAUUCAGUGUAGAAUUUGGUGCUUAAUCCAUGACCCUCAAUAAUCCUUAGGCUUUAUAUCCACAUAGCCACCCAUUCUGGUUUUGAAAUAAAAAAAAUUGUAAUAAUUUUUGAUUGUCAAAUGGCCACUUUCAGAAGUCACUUGAUAUUUAUGCUUCCUUUACUCAUCCUUCUAUGGCACAGAGAGACUGAAAAUAAAGGAGAUUGCUUUGGCCAAUGUUUAGUCUGAAGCAAAAAUAGCAAAAAGAUUUCCCCAAUGAAGGAUUUCUGUGUUUACAAAUCAAAGGAAAGGGAGGGGUCUGUUGUCUACAUAAACUGUGAGCUUCAGAUUCCUGGAUCUAAUUCACUAUUGGAACACCGAAAUAUUUGCUACAUGCAUAAAAAGGUAAUGGCUUGAUGGUAACCAUGCGUUUGCAGAGCUGGGUAUCUGACUUCACUGCUGGUGUCCCUUUA